rnacentral:rRNA from 1 species
UACGUAGGGUGCGAGCGUUAAUCGGAAUUACUGGGCGUAAAGCGUGCGCAGGCGGUUUUGUAAGCCAGAUGUGAAAUCCCCGGGCUUAACCUGGGAACUGCAUUUGGGACUGCAAGGCUUGAGUACGGCAGAGGGGGGUAGAAUUCCUGGUGUAGCAGUGAAAUGCGUAGAUAUCUGGAGGAACACCGGUGGCGAAGGCGGCAUCCUGGACCGAUACUGACGCUGAGGCGCGAAAGCCAGGGGAGCAACAGG